rnacentral:rRNA from 1 species
UACAGAGGUCUCAAGCGUUGUUCGGAUUCAUUGGGCGUAAAGGGGUGCGUAGGUGGCGCCGUAAGUCGGGUGUGAAAUUUCGAGGCUUAACCUCGAAACUGCAUUCGAUACUGCGGUGCUUGAGGACUGGAGAGGAGACUGGAAUUCAUGGUGUAGCAGUGAAAUGCGUAGAGAUCAUGAGGAAGACCAGUGGCGAAGGCGGGUCUCUGGACAGUUCCUGACACUGAGGCACGAAGGCCAGGGGAGCAAACGGG